UACGGAGGGAGCUAGCGUUGUUCGGAAUUACUGGGCGUAAAGCGCGCGUAGGUGGCCCGGUCAGUUCGUGGUGAAAGCGCGGGGCUCAACCCUGCGUCGGCCAUGAAUACUGCCGCGGCUGGAGCACUGUAGAGGCAGGCGGAAUUCCGGGUGUAGCGGUGGAAUGCGUAGAGAUCCGGAAGAACACCGGUGGCGAAGGCGGCCCGCUGGUCCGGUACUGACGCUGAGGUGCGAAAGCGUGGGGAGCAAACAGG
rnacentral:rRNA from 1 species